ACACACAUGCAUUGAUCUAGGUUGACACUUACACACAUGCAUUGAUCUAGGUUGACACUUACACACAUGCAUUGAUCUAGGUUGACACUUACACACAUGCAUUGAUCUAGGUUGACACUUACACACAUGCAUUGAUCUAGGUUGACACUUACACACAUGCAUUGAUCUAGGUUGACACUUACACACAUGCAUUGAUCUAGGUUGACACUUACACACAUGCAUUGAUCUAGGUUGACACUUACACACAUGCAUUGAUCUAGGUUGACACUUACACACAUGCAUUGAUCUAGGUUGACACUUACACACAUGCAUUGAUCUAGGUUGACACUUACACACAUGCAUUGAUCUAGGUUGACACUUACACACAUGCAUUGAUCUAGGUUGACACUAACACACAUGCAUUUUACCCCGUUUUCUCGUAGUGUAUACCAAGGUAUAUUAAAAUCAUAACUUUUCCAAUAAAAACAUGGCAUCCCUUUCUUCUUUCUCUAGAAUAAUCUGAUGAUAUGAAUAAUAAACCUAAUAAUAACUAUA